rnacentral:pre_miRNA from 1 species
UCGCUUGCCUGGCUCCCUGAAUGCCAUCUGAGAAGCUUGUCAAAACGAUUGGCAACCUUUCCAUUUGGCAUGAAGGGAGCCAUGCAGGCUGC